UCAGAAAGCAUGUUCCAAUUCCAGAAACCCCUCUCCUCCCAUUUCUCCAAAAACCCUUCCAACUCACAAAACCAAAAAGCUCAAAACCCUAAAAUCUCUGAAACGAGGGCUUCCAUGGAGGUGGAGUAACAAGGAGCAUGCAGAGAAGCAUCAACAAGAAGAUAGGCUCUUGCCUUCUUCGAUUCACGCCUAGCCCAUCUCCAGCUCUCCUCACGCGCCACCACUACUCCCAUUUCCCCCUCUCUCGCCUCCUCACUCUCUCCCAGUUCCUUCAUUCCUCUCCAUCCUUCAACCACAACCUUCAACAACCCAGCUCUUACUGUAAAUUCCCAGAAAAUGGAGCCCUUUUUUUCGCUCCAAGGCCCAUAUUGCGGAAUUUUCUGUGCAGUUGUGGGACCUCUUUAGAUUCUAAUCGCCACUGUAUCAAUCGUAAUUUUUUUACUAGAGCCAAGGAAGUUAAGAACAUUGAAAUCAAUGAUCAGCAGCCAACGAGCAGUCAGAACUGCAUUAUGGUGUAACUUCCUCGUCUUUUCUCUCAAGUUUGGGGUCUGGUUAACAACCUCUAGCCAUGUUAUGUUGGCUGAAGUUGUGCACUCAGCCGCAGAUUUUGCAAAUCAGAGAAACUAAUACAUAUUCACAAUGUAGCCUCUUCUUGCAUAUGGUCUGAGUAGCUCAAGGCGUGCUCCAGAUGCCAUCCACCCGUGAGUAUUUCAUUUCAGAGGUCACCUUUGGCAUCAAUGUUCUUGUAUUUGUUAUAUUUACAUUGACUUCACCAUUCAGCAUAUGGAUCAAACUUUAUCUAGAUCAUAGUUGUUAAAAACUUAGGAUACAUGAUACGAGGCAUUUAGCAACCCCUAUCUUAUUUUAAGUGUAUCUUAUGAAACAUAUACGAUACAUCAUCCAAUGCUUGAUAAAAUGAUAUUUACACUUUUA